rnacentral:ncRNA from 1 species
GCUCGUACGAUGAAAAGAAGUAGUAACAAGUCUCUUUCUAUUUAGGGAGGAACAAGAGAGUGAAACUGUUCUAUAGAAAUGCUUGCGAAUUCACCUUGGAGUAUAGACGAAAUGUCCGCUGGUUGCGUUAUCACCAAUUAAGUGCAUCUUCAUAACCAUGAUGAUGAAUAAGGAUGGCACCACGGCAUAAGUCGUUCCUUGG